UGAAAUUUUAUUACUCUGUGGUUAGG
rnacentral:piRNA from 1 species